GCAUCAUCUGGGACAGCAGCAGGGGGAAUGGGGGCAAACCGCGGGUCUGUUGGACCUGAAGUUUUCCAUUAUGUGUGAAGGCAGCCAUAGAAUUGGAGACAGUUCAUUCAUGAGAUUUCCUUUGCUAUGCUUUAUAGACAAGAACACGACUGCUUGGAGCAUUGCCUGAUAGUGCUCUCAAUCAGUCAGUAAAAGGCACAGAGGAAGACCAAUCAGAGCACUACUCCAUUGGACACAGGUGUGGCACCAGGAAAGCACCAUUGCUCAACACAGGUGGCCAAUGGUGAGCUGGAUCAGGUGUCUCAGCAGGAACUGCUUCUUCUGGGGAGAAAGAGU